rnacentral:tRNA from 1 species
UCGCGGGUAGUUCAACUGGCAGAACACCAGACUUUGAAUCUGGGGGUUGCAGGUUCGAGCCCUGCCCCGCGAACCA